CUCUUUGCCUUUUCCUCCGCCAUCG
rnacentral:piRNA from 1 species